GCCCCAAUGGCCAACGGUGGCGCCCGCACCACAUAGUGAUGAUUGAGUAUGGUCGAUUCAAGCGGGAGGCCUGGUUCGAUUCCGGGGUGGGUCA